rnacentral:rRNA from 1 species
CCUACGGGAGGCUGCAGUAGGGAAUAUUGCUCAAUGGGGGAAACCCUGAAGCAGCAACGCCGCGUGGAGGAUGAAGGUUUUCGGAGUGGAAACUCCGUUUGGUAGAGAAGAUAAUGACGGUAUCUAACGAAUAAGCACCGGCUAACUCCGUGCCAGCAGCCGCGGUAAUACGGAGGGUGCAAGCGUUACUCGGAAUCACUGGACGUAAAGAGCGCGUAGGCGGGAUAGCAAGUCAGAGGUGAAAUCCUAUGGCUUAACCAUAGAACUGCAUUUGAAACUGUGAUUCUAGAGUAUUGGAGAGGUAGGUGGAAUUCUUGGUGUAGGGGUAAAAUCCGUAGAGAUCAAGAGGAAUACUCAUUGCGAAGGCGACCUGCUAGAACAUAACUGACGCUGAUGCGCGAAAGCGUGGGGAGCAAACAGGAUUAGAUACCCUUGUAGUC